rnacentral:lncRNA from 1 species
CCCACUGAAGGUGUUGUCUGUUCUGGAUGCGCCGGCACUCCCUAAAGCUGGUGACUUGCCAAUACAAGCGAGGCUCCAGCAAGACCAUGACGUCCGCUGUUGCCGCUCAGGUAAAAACUAACCUCCUUUGUUUGAUGAAUAUGUAGAACUUUUUGUGAUUCAAUUCCACUGUACCACGAGGGGCACCAUAAUCAGUAUUUUGCCGAAAUUAAUGGCACGGGAAAGUACAUCUUCGUUUUCUGAAAAAUAGAACAAGAUCGCAGUGAGCCCUCAUAAAAGUAAACUCCAAAAGGAGAAACUUAGAGCAUCUCUAUCAGACCCCAUAUAAAGCCGAUCCGUAAAAAUCGUUUGCAGUUCGCGGAAAAAUACUUUUGCGGACCGACGUGGCUCUGUUCGGCCGCCGUUCAUGCCACCCUUAUUACAUUUUUAGGCAUGAAAACAUAUUUUGUUGUUUUUUUAUUUUCUUUAAACGCAUUAGAUACAUCAUAAUUCAUCAAAUCUUUGCUAAAACAGCAAGACUAAAGAAAACAAGAACUACAAUUAGACAUUUUAGAAGAUAUCUAAUUUUGAUAACUGCUCCCACUAGUUGGAUCACCAUCUUCUCCAUGCAUUUAUUGUUGAUUUGGAGGUUCUUCAUAUUGCAUUUUUCAUUCUUCGUCUUUGAUUCUAAAGAAUUAGACGUUGCUUCCCGUUUAAUUUCUUUUCUAAUUGCACAUGCAGCUUCAUCAUUAGGCUCAAUUAUACUAAGGAGUGCACGAAUAUUUGUUAAGUUUAUUUCUAUCAAUAGAUCGAUGUAUUUUUCUUUUCAAUACCAAAAUGAGCAUCCACCUUUCUAAAUAGAUGAACACCUCAAUAAGCUACCGUGAUUUAACCAAAUAAGUUGACAGAGCCGAAGAGGAAGAAGAGCGUACCCCGUCGUUUUUGUAUUUGAAGAAUACCCAUCUGAGGUGCUGCCGUGUGUUGGAUGUGAGCCGCAACACUGUUUCUAGGCAGUCGCCGCACUGUAUGAGCGGCAUCGGCAAGCCGGCGAGCCGUUGCAUGACCAUCGAGCCCGGACGACGGUCGAAAGAGUCCUUGCCGACAAACCAACAUCGACGACUAGAGGAUGAACCAGCACCUGCAUGCGGCGUUAGUGCUUUGUCGGGGCUGUGCGGGGUGCUCCCCGACCAAUCCAUGGCUUUGGCGCAGCUGCCAGUGGCCGGAAAAGUCAAAUUCGGUGGUCACGACAAAACAACCGCCGAUAUGUACCUUGUCGGUGAGCCGAGGCAUGAGGGCGUGGGGGAGAUCGAUCUAGGGCAGGCAGCGGCCCACCGGCGUGAUCCCGACGGCUGGUGUGGCCGAAAUCGAAGGCGGCAUCCGAUAACGGUGGGUGAGGGAAAAGCGCGGGUGAAAUAUCCCAUCAACCAACCGCUUCUAGAUAUAUACAGGACAUCGACGGGGCGGGGUGGAGAACCUGCGUUUACGUGGGUUAGGGUGUGCAUUUUGCCGUGCCCCGCAAAAAAAUUACUGGUCGGACGCGGUUGUGAGGUCUGGUCUGACAGCAUUUUUUGUCCCUACCUGUAUUUUGAUGAUUAUUUUGUGGGUUUGGCCCUUUUACGGAGUCCGCUAGGGAUGUUCUUGUAACUUCACUACAUAACUAUAGCAGGAGCAACAUUACUGAUUUCAUCCUCACGGUCUCGUCAUUUACAAUAAGCCUAGUUGGAAAAUGUCAUGUCUGGCUGUCGACGUUGCUGACAUGGUGCACCAUCCCACAGUAUCGGUGAACCGUUGUCGGAGUUGAACUUAUUGAUGUACAGUGACGGAAUUGUAUCCCUAAGGCCUGAACGAAGUGAGCAUUUUCCUGUUUGUUUAUCUAGCCUCUCAUUCUUAACUUAGGAAUACAAAUGAAAAUAAUAGAUACCUGAGAAAGAGGGUGAAGACUAAACAAAGAGAAAACAAGAUACCAAAUGGAAAAUAGAAAGCGAAAAGUGAAUAAAGAGAAACCAAAGACUCAAGAAAAUACAGAGUAAGAACAAACGCCGAGGACCUAGCACAUAAUAGCCAAGUCUCGAGUGAGUGUUGAUACUCAGGUGAGUGAUUUAACACUGGAGUACUAAUUAUCACUAAUCAUCGAGUUGUGUAUAUUGUAUAAAACACUUGGUCGAGUGAUCGCCUUUAGAU